AUUUCCCACAUGUGGGACUAAUAAAGGUUAUCUUAUCUUAUCUUAUCUUACAGUUUCAGAGCGGACUGGUCACUCUUGAUUCAGCGGUAUCAUCCUGGCGUUUAUGCUCGGGAGUUAAAGUUGGCCGGAAGGAGGUGUCCGUAUGCUGUGUUUAAGAUACUUUGGAAAUCUUGAGAGCUACAGAAGAGGAGGAAUCAUGAGGGUAGUGCCGGGAUAAACAGGAUGGUCCGUAGCAGCUGGGUUCAAAUAGGAGGCUUGAGGCAGGGAUGAGGUGCAGACCAACCGCGUGUUUAUCCACCAACGGCCACUCCAGAUGCCUGUGGGCUCCUUUGGCUGGCACACCAUCAAGAGAAAACACAGGUGAGACAAUCUUGUCAUCACGAUAUUAACUUAGCCUCUCCUACCCAUUAGGUUAGACGUCAGGUAAGUGUUAAAGUGAUGUUUUCCACCAGCUUAACCAAACUUUUCAUACUAAUCAGUGCCAGAGAAAAGGACACUAAAGAAACUGCUGGA